AUUGAACGCUGGCGGCAGGCCUAACACAUGCAAGUCGAGCGAGCGGAGGACGUGUGAGUAAUGAAUGGGGAUCUGCCCGAUAGAGGGGGAUAACUACUGGAAACGGUUGCUAAUUCCGCAUACUUUCGGAUGCACCCAUAUGGGAUUAGCUAGUAGGUGGGGUAAAGGCAUACCUAGGUGACGAUCUCUAUCUGGUCUGAGAGGAUGAUCAGCCACACUGGAACUGAGACACGGCCCAGACUCCUACGGGAGGCAGCAGUGGGGAAUAUUGCACAAUGGGCGAAAGCCUGAUGCAGCCAUGCCGCGUGUGUGAAGAAGGCCUUAGGAUUGUAAAGUACUUUCAGCUGUGAGGCGUUACCCACAGAAUAAGCACCGGCUAACUCCGUGCCAGCAGCCGCGGUAAUAC
rnacentral:rRNA from 1 species